rnacentral:Y_RNA from 1 species
GGUUGGUCCCAGUGCGGUGUUGUUUACAACUAAUUGAUCACAACCAGUUACAGAUUCCUUUGUUCCUUCUGCACUUCCACUGCUUCACUUGACCAGCCUUUA